CAAACCAAAUAUGUUCUCUCUUGCUUUUUCAAUUUCAUUUCCAGAAUUAGAAGAUGGUUGAAGCUGUACUUGAAGUUGUGCUUCACCAUUUGAGCUCCCUUCUUCAAAACGAGCUUGACCUAUUUCUCGGUUUCGACCAACAAUUUAACCGUCUUUCUAACUUGCUCACAACAACCAAGUCUACUUAGCUUGCUCACAACAAUCAAGUCUACCCUUGCAGAUGCUGAGGAGAAACAAUUCUCAAACAGAGCUAUCAAUGAUUGGUUGCUUAAGCUCAAAGAUGUUGCUCAUGUUCUUGAUGACAUCUUGUACGAGUGUGCUACCGAAGCAUUGGAGAUGGAGUACAAGAGACUGUCACACAAGGUACAAAGCUCUUUCUUAUCAUCUUUUCAUCCCAAGCAUGUUACUUCCCGUUGCAAAAUUGGCAUUUCCAAACUUGAGCAACUCCCAACUGAAUUAAUGAUACUUAAUUCUAUCCAAGAAAUACAUAUAUAUCUGGUUGUGAGAACCUCAAGUCAUUGCCAAAUGAAGUAUUACAAGGGUUGCAUUCUCUAAAGAUAUUCAAUAUUGAGGAUUGCCCAAAGUUCAACCUAUCAGAAACUUUCCAGCAUCUCACUAGUCUUGAGGAAUUGACGAUGGAAGUUGCUUAGAAAUAGAAGAUUUGCAUGAUGCUUUACAACAUAUGACUGCCCUUCAACCGUUAAUAUUGUGCGAUCUUCCAAACCUAGCAUCCCUUCCUGACUGGUUGAGAAACUUAGGUUUGCUUGACGAAUUAAAGAUUUCUAUGUGUCCGAAGUUGAGGUGUCUUCCGAAGAGCAUUCAAUGCCUCACUGCUCUUAAAAGUUUGAAGAUUUAUGGUUGCAGUGAGUUAGAGAUACAUUGUAAAGAGAGCACAGGCGAAAAAAUAGCUCACAUUCAAUGGAUUGUAGUAGAAAACGCUAGAAUGUUCUAUGGAGGAGGAGGAUCUUCUUAUACUUUAGAUUACUUCUCACAUUGUUAUUCCUGUUUUUUUCCCUAGGUUUUGAAGGGAUACAAAUUUUGGGUUUUAUUUUUCUUCUUGCAUUUGUGUGGUUUCUCUUCAACCCUAGCAAAAGGAAAAUAACAUGUCAAAGCCAUGGAAGAAUCUUUGUGCUCUUAGCCUUGUUUUCUCUGUUGGAAUUGGUGAUCUUCUCUUUUGUUAAGACAUUGCAAGAGAGCUUAUAUCUUGCUCACCCACUAUCAAGGAUACUCCUGAAGAUGCUUAGGAGAAGCAAUUCAUUGACAAAGCUAUUAAGGAUUGGCUGCAAAAGCUCAAAGAUGUUUCUAACGUCCUCAAUGAUAUUUUUGACGAGUGUGCCAUGCAAACGAAGGAGUUGUAGUACUAAGGAUUCAUGUGUGGCCUGUCAAACAAGAUUCACAGGCAGUUGAGUAGUAAGCUAUUAUAGUAGACUCAAGUCUCUUUGAUCGAGGAUUUUUUUUGUAAAGUUAGUUGAGUCGUAAUGUAUUUUGCAACUAUUUUGAGUCUAGAAAGUCAUUUGAGAGAUGUAUUAAAUAUUUAGAUUAUAUUCUUUGAAUUAUGACUGAGUUAGAAGUUUAAACAGGAAUUUUAUAAAUUGGGAACGUUAAAGUUACGGAUGAUACUU